AACGAACGCUGGCGGCAUGCCUAACACAUGCAAGUCGAACGAGACCUUCGGGUCUAGUGGCGCACGGGUGCGUAACGCGUGGGAACCUGCCCUUAGGUUCGGAAUAACUCCCCGAAAGGGGUGCUAAUACCGGAUAAUGUCUUCGGACCAAAGAUUUAUCGCCUUUGGAUGGGCCCGCGUUGGAUUAGCUAGUUGGUAGGGUAAAAGCCUACCAAGGCGACGAUCCAUAGCUGGUCUGAGAGGAUGAUCAGCCACACUGGGACUGAGACACGGCCCAGACUCCUACGGGAGGCAGCAGUGGGGAAUAUUGGACAAUGGGCGAAAGCCUGAUCCAGCAAGGCCGCGUGAGUGAUGAAGGCCUUAGGGUUGUAAAGCUCGUUUACCCGGGAUGAUAAUGACAGUACCGGGAGAAUAAGCGCCGGCUAACUCCGUG
rnacentral:rRNA from 1 species